AGCCGCCCUUGAUCCCCCGGUGCCGCUUGGUGGUCUUCACCCAGCGGUUGAACGGGAAGCCGGUGCCCUCGUCCAGUGUGACCGAGGAAAGCCGGCACUGCCCCCGCAACGGUAGACGAGUCAAGACGCGACAGACGGCCACUGUGAGCACAGGCUCAUGGGAAGGCGUCGCGUCGGAGUGUCCCAAGCACCUCGCUCGUGAGUCCGGAGACCGGCCAGGGGAUCGGAGCCGUG
rnacentral:ncRNA from 2 species